rnacentral:rRNA from 1 species
GUAACACGUAGUCAACCUGCCCUGGAGACGCGGACAAACCCGGGAAACUGGGGCCUAUCCGCGAUAGAUGACCUCACCUGGAAGGAGAGGCCGUCGAAAAGGGCGCACGGGUAUGCUCUGUGCGAACCGCUCCAGGAUGGGACUGCGGCCGAUCAGGCUGUUGGCGGGGUAAUGGCCCACCAAACCUGUAACCGGUACGGGCUUUGAGAGAAGGAGCCCGGAGAUGGACACUGAGACAAGGGUCCAGGCCCUACGGGGCGCAUCAGGCGCGAAACCUUCGCAAUGCGCGAAAGCGUGACGAGGCUAGUCCGAGUGCCUCCUGCUAAAGGGGGCUUUUCUCGGCUGUAAAUAGGCCGGGGAAUAAGGGGAGGGCAAGUCUGGUGUCAGCCGCCGCGGUAAUACCAGCUCCUCGAGUGGUCGGGACGAUUAUUGGGCCUAAAGCACCCGGUAGCCCGGUUCCGUAAGUCCCUCUGUUAAAAUCCCAGUCC